AUUGAACGCUGGCGGCAGGCCUAACACAUGCAAGUCGAACGAGUGGCGGACGGGUGAGUAAUGUCUGGGAAACUGCCUGAUGGAGGGGGAUAACUACUGGAAACGGUAGCUAAUACCGCAUACCAUCAGAUGUGCCCAGAUGGGAUUAGCUUGUUGGUGGGGUAACGGCUCACCAAGGCGACGAUCCCUAGCUGGUCUGAGAGGAUGACGAGCCACACGGGAACGGAGACAGGGACCAGACUCAUACGGAAGGCACAGGUGGGGAAUAUUGCACAAUGGGCGCAAGCCGGAUGCAGCCAUGCCGGGUGUAGGAAGAAGGCCUUGGGGUUGUAAAGUACUUUCAGCGGGGAGGCGUUACCCGCAGAAGAAGCACCGGCUAACUCCGUGCCAGCAGCCGCGGUAAUUC
rnacentral:rRNA from 1 species